UACGGAGGGUGCAAGCGUUAAUCGGAAUUACUGGGCGUAAAGGGUGCGUAGGCGGUUGUUUAAGUCUGUUGUGAAAUCCCCGGGCUCAACCUGGGAAUGGCAAUGGAUACUGGACAGCUAGAGUGUGUCAGAGGAUGGUGGAAUUCCCGGUGUAGCGGUGAAAUGCGUAGAGAUCGGGAGGAACAUCAGUGGCGAAGGCGGCCAUCUGGGACAACACUGACGCUGAAGCACGAAAGCGUGGGGAGCAAACAGGG
rnacentral:rRNA from 1 species